GCAAGAUUAAAACUCAAAGGAAUAGACGGGGACCCGCACAAGUGGUGGAGCAUGUGGUUUAAUUCGAAGAUACGCGAAGAACCUUACCUAGCCUUGACAUUGAUAGAAUCUUCCAGAGAUGGAGGAGUGCCUUUAGGGGAACUUGAAAACAGGUGCUGCACGGCUGUCGUCAGCUCGUGUCGUGAGAUGUUGGGUUAAGUCCCGCAACGAGCGCAACCCUCGUCACUAGUUACUAACAGUUAGGCUGAGGACUCUAGUGAGACUGCCUUCGUAAGGAGGAGGAAGGUGAGGACGACGUCAAGUCAUCAUGGCCCUUACGGCUAGGGCAACACACGCGCUACAAUGGUUAGGACAGUGAGAAGCGAUACCGCGAGGUGGAGCCAAUCUAUAAACCUAAUCUCAGUUCGGAUUGUAGUCUGCAACUCGACUACAUGAAGCUGGAAUCACUAGUAAUCGUAGAUCAGCUAUGCUACGGUGAAUACGUUCCCGGGUCUUGUACUCACCGCCCGUCACACCAUGGGAGUUGAUUUCACCCGAAGCGGGGAAGCUAAACUGGCUACCCUCCACGGUGGAAUUAGCGACUGGGGUGAAGUCGUAGCAAGAUA
rnacentral:rRNA from 1 species